rnacentral:rRNA from 1 species
UACGUAGGGUGCAAGCGUUGUCCGGAAUUAUUGGGCGUAAAGAGCUCGUAGGUGGUUUGUCGCGUCGGCUGUGAAAACUCGGGGCUCAACCCCGAGCCUGCAGUCGAUACGGGCAAACUAGAGUGCGGUAGGGGAGACUGGAAUUCCUGGUGUAGCGGUGAAAUGCGCAGAUAUCAGGAGGAACACCGGCGGCGAAGGCGGGUCUCUGGGCCGUAACUGACACUGAGGAGCGAAAGCGUGGGGAGCGAACAGG